rnacentral:lncRNA from 1 species
GAGGAGGGAGGGAGAUGAGAGGGUGAUUGCUCUUUUCUCUUGAUUUCUUCCUUUUAGUGGGUGGAUGAAGGGAGGAGGCUAGUCCUCAUCUCGCAGAGAUGUUGUCCUCAUGAUUUAGUUGAAUUUGUGAUUCAAAUCCAUGGCUAAAUCCUUUGUUUCUCCCAUUUUUCUUUUUCAGUAUUUUUGGAGCUAUUUUUGGGGAUUUUUUGUUCUUCGUAUUUGAGCUCAAAUCUUGUGAGGUUUGUUGGGGGAAAUUGGUGAUAGGAUCCUUGUGAGCAUCUUUGAUGUGUUCCCCCCUCAAAUCCCCAAGGAUUCAGCUUGAAUUUGAAGUUUUCCCAAAAUUCUCUCUCUUGUGUUCUUGACCGAAUUCCGUGAAAUCCAUAGUGAAGUCUUGAUCUUUUUGAGAUCUUUUGGGAAAAGACUCACUAGAUUGUUGCGGAGCUAUGUUAAAAUUUCGUAAAUUUUGGAGGUCAUUUGUUUGAAUUUUGAAGUGUUGACCUAAACUUUUAAGGCUGUUUUUUGUGCUUUUGGAAGUUCCGACACUGUGUAGGAAGUUUAGAUGGGAUGGAAGUUCCAACACAGAACCGGAAGUUCCGAUGAUUUCUUUUUGAAAACCCGAGAGUCCCUGUCGGUAGUUUCUCAAUACAUCUGAUAGGUGCCGGAAGUUCCGAUACAGGGUCAGAUGUUCUGACAAAACCGCUGAGAAGCUCUUGUCGGACCUCUAUAAAUAGUUCCGGUCCCACUUUCGGAAGUUUCGAUAAGAGGUCAGAAGUUUCGACAUCUAGAAGGUGUUUUGAGCUCUAUUUUGCCUCAAUCUUUUGGGUUUGAUUUUGUGUUGCUUCUAAGCCUUCCUAGCAUCGUUCCUAAGGUCAGUAGAUCUGCUAUGACUACGUGAUCUUGACAUAGCUAGAAGAGAGGGUUGAAGGUUACUUUGGGACUUAGAUCGAAUUUCUUGGAGAGUUUUUGAAUUGGCUCCCAUUCACCCCCCC